rnacentral:rRNA from 1 species
UACAGGGGGGGCAAGCGUUGUUCGGAAUUACUGGGCGUAAAGGGCUCGUAGGCGGCCAACUAAGUCAGAUGUGAAAUCCCCAGGCUUAACCUGGGAACUGCAUCUGAUACUGGAUGGCUUGAAUCCGGGAGAGGGAUGCAGAAUUCCAGGUGUAGCGGUGAAAUGCGUAGAUAUCUGGAGGAAUACCGGUGGCGAAGGCGGCAUCCUGGACCGGCAUUGACGCUGAGGAGCGAAAGCUAGGGGAGCAAACGGGG